rnacentral:rRNA from 1 species
GGCGGCAGGCCUAACACAUGCAAGUCGAACGGAGUUAUAUUGUAGCUUGCUAUGGUAUAACUUAGUGGCAGACGGGUGAGUAAUGUAUAGGAAUCUACCUAGUAGUACGGAAUAAUUGUUGGAAACGGCAACUAAUACCGUAUACGCCCUACGGGGGAAAAAUUUAUUGCUAUUAGAUGAGCCUAUAUUAGAUUAGCUAGUUGGUGGAGUAAUAGCCUACCAAGGCAAUGAUCUAUAGCUGAUCUGAGAGGAUGAUCAGCCACACUGGAACUGAGAUACGGUCCAGACUCCUACGGGAGGCAGCAGUGGGGAAUAUUGGACAAUGGGCGAAAGCCUGAUCCAGCCAUGCCGCAUGAGUGAAGAAGGCCUUUGGGUUGUAAAGCUCUUUUAGUGAGGAAGAUAAUGACGGUACUCACAGAAGAAGUCCUGGCUAACUCCGUGCCAGCAGCCGCGGUAAUACGGAGAGGGCUAGCGUUAUUCGGAAUUAUUGGGCGUAAAGGGCGCGUAGGCGGAUUAGUAAGUUAAAAGUGAAAUCCCAAGGCUCAACCUUGGAAUUGCUUUUAAAACUGCUAAUCUAGAGAUUGAAAGAGGAUAGAGGAAUUCCUAGUGUAGAGGUGAAAUUCGUAAAUAUUAGGAGGAACACCAGUGGCGAAGGCGUCUAUCUGGUUCAAAUCUGACGCUGAGGCGCGAAGGCGUGGGGAGCAAACAGGAUUAGAUACCCUGGUAGUCCACGCUGUAAACGAUGAAUGUUAAAU